CCAUCAACACAGCCCCUUUCUUUUAUCACCAUAUGUAUACCCCUUCUUUCAUUUCUCUAUUUCCUUAUCUCACUCAGCCACCGAAACCCACACACAUACACCCUCUAGUUCCCUCUAUUUCUCUCACUCCCUCAACAGUAAACCAGCCAACCACCACCACUUUUGGCGGAUUUCACCGGAGAACCCCAUUAGCAACCCCAUACGCUCCAUUCUCUCAAAGCUUUAAAAGUUCUAAUAAUCUUGGUGAUGGACCUAGUGACUGGAUUAGUUGAUUUUGUGGUGCCCGGUUGAGGUAAAAUUGGCUGGCCUUCCGAGUUAAGUAGCUUGUAAUGGGAUUUUUGGAAAAUAACCAUGUUGUAUAAACAUUGUUUUCGGGUCAAACACAUUUUGGAAAAUUAAUGGUGGAACUAUGUUUUUCUAAAAAGUGUUAUGUUGUGACCCUACUAUAUAUGAUUAUAUAUGAAAGUGCAUAUUUUUAUUUCAUAUGGGGAAUUACAUGAUUGUUAGCAUGGAAAAGACUAGCAUCUUUGAUUGAAUUCUUGAAAAUGCGUUUUAUGGAUUCAUUGCAUUAUUUGCAAAUUCUAAAGAUGCUUUAUCUUAGCUUGUAUUAUUUGGGAAAUUUACGCAAAAUAUUUAUGUCAAGAAAUAGUUUAGAGGAUUUUGAGAAUAUUGUAGCUAUUUGGUUAUUGAAAUAUUUUAUGAAACUACUUGGAAGUGAACUGUGUAUUUUAAAUACAUUAACUUGUGAGCUUUUGACAUGGUUUUGUCAUUGUGCCAUGAUAUUGGUGAUUACCCCAUCUGUGUGACAACCUCGUCUGUGUGACAACCCACCGUCUAUGUGACGACCCCGUCUGUGUGACGACCCACUGUCUGUGUGACGACCCGUCUUUGUGACGACUCGUCUGUGUGACAACCUUGUCAUGUGGCCUUGGGUGAGGUUUCUGGAUUUGAAAUGGUAUUGGAUAUUUUAUGGCUCACAAUGAAUAAUAUGUAGUUUCAUAAUUACUUUGGGAAGUUUGGUGCUACAAUAUGUCUAUUAUUCUUGUCAUAAUGUUAAGGAAAUUUAUUUUGCAGAAUUCAAAUGGAAAUUCCCAAAUUUUAGCAUGUCUGUAAAAUGUUCAUUGUUGUGAAACUUGCAUUUCCCCCCACCCCCAUUAAUUAUGCUACUUACUGGGCUUUAGCUCAUCCCACUCUCCAACAGUUUUUCAGAUAAAUUUGCUAUACCUCAAGCAUGGAGCUUGUUUUAUUGGCGGUGAUUGGAGCAUUAUGCUAAGUGAGAGAUUUAUGCUAUUGAGGUUGCAUACUUUAGAGAGGAUCAUGACUUUGUGUUUAUUUUAUUUGGAACGUUGGAUUGUUAAGUGUAUUUGGAGUCACAUGAUUGUAGUUUGUUUUGCUUGUAAAUGUGUCAUAGAGCUCUGACUUGUAUUGUGGAGAGAUCAAUAUAUUUAUUUAUUUUAUCAAAUGGAAGGAAAAAAAAAAAAAUCUCCUGCGUUCUCGCUUUUAAUGGUUCUUCCCUCACGCUUUGAACUCUCUUUGGUUUGGGGCAUGACAUUGUAGGGGUCCGAACCCCUACGAGUGAGCAGAAAAGGGAGGAGGAAAGAGGCCUGGUAAACUGUCAUAAUUAGUGAAAAAGUGUAAGCAUUCACUGCCCGACAAUAUGAAGUACUGACCACACUAAGGGAUAGGCCCUAAAGCAAAGGACGAGAACGAGUAGAAUCAAUGUGUUCCAAUUUCUGGCCUUGCACCGACCAUCUCAUGGACCAUGGACUAAACAGCCACUGCCUUAAAGGAUGCAUGCAACAAGGAGCAUGGUGAAGCGUUGCGCAAAGAUUUUUAUUCGAACAUUUGUGCUUAUACCCAAAAUGAGUACUCAAAUUAUAAUUGAAACUCCUUAUAAUCAUGCAUCCUGCAUGCUACCAUGAGUCAUGACCCAAGCUAUCACAAAUUCAGUCUCCGAUCCCUCAUAUAAAUUGUGAACAUCCACCUCAAGCCCAAACCCAGUUUACCUUCCUCAAGGAAUUUCAUAUUGAUUAUGAGCUGUUAA